UACGGAGGGUGCAAGCGUUAUCCGGAUUCACUGGGUUUAAAGGGUGCGUAGGUCGAUAGGUAAGUCAGUGGUGAAAUACUCCGACUCAAUCGGAGAACUGCCGUUGAUACUAUCUAUCUUGAAUACGGUGGAGGCGGGCAGAAUGCGUCAUGUAGUGGUGAAAUACUUAGAUAUGACGCAGAAUACCCAUUGCGAAGGCAGCUCGCUACGCCGGCAUUGACACUGAGGCACGAAAGCGUGGGGAUCAAACAGG
rnacentral:rRNA from 1 species